UCGCACCUACCGAUUGAACGUUCCGGUGAGACCUUGGGAUUCUGUCUUUUUGGAUUUAUUUUCAGUUUGACGGAAGAACUUGAGCAAACCUUAACGUUUAGAGGAAGGUG
rnacentral:rRNA from 1 species